GAGAAGACCCCACCUCCACCAUCACCACUCCCUUCACUGCUUGCCAUAACCACAUCUGUUUCAUCCCUCCUCCUUUCCUCCCUUCCUCUUCCUUUUUCUUCCCUAUACCCUCUCACCUGUGCUCAAGAUAGACAGAGGUUCUGCAAAUAAAGUAAAGGAAGGACAAAGAAAAGUAUUACGUCCAAAAGAACAUGGAUUUUGAAAUAUAUAGCCCUAGUUUUUUUGAAAUCAAAACAAUGGGAUGAGAAAACUUCAAAAUUUACUUCAGAUGAGGCUCUCCCAACUGUCAGAACAAAUGUCAGAAGGCGUAGUAGACUGCCACGAAUGAAUGACCCAGAGGAGUCCACUGACCAGCUGACUUCGGUUGACAUGGGUGACAUGGUCACAUUCCCCUGCUCUGUCUGCCACCAAGAACUGAACACAGCUGGGAAUUUUCUCCAUAAGAAACAUCACAAUGCUCUGAGUACGCUGGGUUUCGAGUGGAUGGGAGGGAGGAAACCAAAGCCCAAAAUGGUCAGUUUUCACAGAGAGUGUAUAAUUUCUAACCUUUUGAGAUCUUCUACAUACAGUGAAAAAGUCCUUCAGAGUAUGAAUUAUGCAUUUGAGCUUCUUAGGAAGAAACAAAUUCCGUCGUACUUCAAACUUUGUGACAAGGUCGGAGAGACUUCUAUAUAUUCUCCAACCAGCUACCACCUUCUGAUUAAAGGUAUAGCCAUCUGUAGCAAUAGUAAUUCAACCUGGAAAGCUGAGCCCAACUGUAAAUUCACGGUCGUGAACGACUUUGGCGAUAAAGCCAAUGUGUGCUUUUUCGGUUUAUU
rnacentral:lncRNA from 1 species